ACGGGAGGCAGCAGUGGGGAAUAUUGCACAAUGGGGGAAACCCUGAUGCAGCGACGCCGCGUGAGUGAAGAAGUAUUUCGGUAUGUAAAGCUCUAUCAGCAGGGAAGAUAAUGACGGUACCUGACUAAGAAGCCCCGGCUAACUACGUGCCAGCAGCCGCGGUAAUACGUAGGGGGCAAGCGUUAUCCGGAAUUAUUGGGCGUAAAGAGUACGUAGGUGGUUUUGUAAGCGUGAGGUGAAAGCCUGCAGCUUAACUGCAGCGAGCCUCAUGAACUGCAAGACUUGAGUGCAGGAGGGGUAAGUGGAACUCCAUGUGUAGCGGUGAAAUGCGUAGAUAUAUGGAAGAACACCGGUGGCGAAGGCGACUUACUGGACUGUAACUGACACUGAGGUACGAAAGCGUGGGGAGCAAACAGGAUUAGAUACCCUGGUA
rnacentral:rRNA from 1 species